CGACCGGCGCACGGGUGAGUAACACGUAUGAAACCUGCCCGUAGCAGGGGGAUAAGCGGAAGAAAUUCCGUCUAAUACCGCGUAACAACCCAUGGAGGCAUCUCUGUGGGUUUAAAGGAAGCGAUUCCGGCUACGGAUGGUCAUGCGUCGCAUUAGCUUGUUGGCGGGGUAGCGGCCCACCAAGGCGACGAUGCGUAGGGGUUCUGAGAGGAAGGUCCCCCACACUGGUACUGAGACACGGACCAGACUCCUACGGAAGGCAGCAG
rnacentral:rRNA from 1 species